rnacentral:sRNA from 1 species
AGUAUGAAACAGAAAUUAUGAAAAAUACCAUAUAAUUGAGAUUCAUGUCAACAUCGAAGUGCGACUACUGGGCUGGUGAUACCUCGGGGACGAAACGUCCCCUUGUUGUUGUGACACUUCGAUGUUGACAUGAAUCUCAAUUAUAUGGUAAUUUUCAUAAAUUUCUGUUUCAUAACU